rnacentral:snRNA from 1 species
GUAUGCUACAGCGGUACAUAUUCUAAAAUUGGAACGAUACAAAGAAGAUUAGCAUGGCCCCUGUGCAAGGAUGACAUGCAUAUUUGUGAAGCGUUCCAUAUUUUU